rnacentral:rRNA from 1 species
UACGUAGGUGGCGAGCGUUGUCCGGAUUUACUGGGCGUAAAGGGCGCGCAGGCGGUUUUGUAAGCCAGAUGUGAAAUCCCCGGGCUCAACCUGGGAAUGGCAUUUGGGACUGCAAGGCUAGAGUGUGGCAGAGGAGACUGGAAUUCCCGGUGUAGCAGUGAAAUGCGUAGAUAUCGGGAGGAAUACCGAUGACGAAGGCAGGUCUCUGGGCUGACACUGACGCUCAUGCACGAAAGCGUGGGGAGCAAACAGG